AUCAUCCACGAGGAACAACUCAGUGGGGAAGAGGAGAAAGGUUAAAGUCUUUCUGCCUAAGGGGAUGACACUCUACAAUCGAGGGAGGACAGACACCGAGGUUCAUAUGGGGAUAAAGUACCGUCAUACAAAGAAUAAGAAUUUCAAAUCGACAGAUCAAACAAAUAUGAUGGUUCUAAUAUGCAAUUAUGAAAUCAUAU
rnacentral:lncRNA from 1 species